UAUGAAUACAACAGAAAAGAUAAAUAAGAAUGAACUCCUUUUGCCUAACUGUUUGAGCUGGAAACAAUAUGCUCUCUAAACCGGAGGGACAUACUUUUCCUAUUCUGAGACACACAGAAACACCAGAGAGAACUGCCUCCUAACAGCAAGAUAUACUAUCUGUAGGACAGGGGUAGACUGAAUACCUGCUUCACUGAAUCCCUGCUUCAAGUCAUCUUUCACAUUUUCUUGUUUGGAAGAACAACCGUUGGGGAAUCACCUUGUUACCAUCAGCAAAAAUGAAAACAAAUCCAGACAUUAAGAAUGCCACCGUGGUCAGCAGUUAAUGAAGCCAGCGUUACACAAGCAAGCUUCAUUCAGCAAAGGAAGUUUUCGAGACAGUGCCUCCCUAGCCAGAAAUCAGGAAAGACUGAACUGAUUCUGGUCAUCUCAGCUGCUCCUUAAAUCACUGCAAGCCUUCCAAAUUAAUGCAAAUUGAAACAUGCAUUGCUUUUUCAGCUUACUUGAGUACUUGCUAUGUGUAAAUCACUGUACAAAUAAGAUGUGGUCCCUGCCUUCAAUGGAUUUACAGUUAGUUUCAGUGCAUUUUUUUUUGGGGGGGGUCUUCUGUUCUUAAUUAAGUGUGUCUCUAAGACAGCAAACAAAUGAAAAAGUGUUCUGUAAGCAUUUUAAGUUCCUUUACUAGAAAAACAAACAAACAAAAACUAAUGUGGGCAACUCAGGACAUCUUAGUUCUAUUUUUUUGCACUUCUAAUAGAUAGGAUCCAUUUUGUUGAUUCCAUAAAUAUUCAGUAGACUUGAAAGAUAUUAACACAUUAUUUGGAUUUAAUUUGAAUCAAAUUCUUUUUCAUUCUUUAGGUGUAGAUUGUUGGAAAAUAUGUUGUGUUUGUACAUUUCUUGAGAGGUGAAUUAUAUCUGUUGUCUCAGUAGCCUCAAAUUUCCAUGCCCUAGGGACCUACCUGCCAUUCCCUAUGAGUUAAUAGCAUCCUGGAGAAAGGGAAGGUUUGGAUCAGACUUGGGGGUCCCUGCUCAUGCACCCAAGACAGGGCAGGGAAGGAGCCAAGUAGACCUGGACAAUGGCUCUGUAUGAAAAUUUGGCUCUUUCAGUAUUCAUUGUGUUGUCUUCUGUGUUCUAUAAGUUGAGUGAGUGACUAUGUAGUUUUUCCAAAAAAAUUGUUUCUUAUCUUGGAGUAGGUCAUGAUUUUUCCAGUUUUAAGACACUAAUGUGAUUUUAGACACUAGACAUUUAAUAUAUUGUCUGUGACCCAUUUUAGUAUGUAUGAGCCAAUAAUUGACAUGUCUUUGUCUUUAGUAGUAUCCAUCGGAAUUGAAAAUGUGCCAGCUUUUUAACAUUAUCAAUAGUCUUCUUAAUUAAGCUGCCAAUACAUACUGCCAAUACAUACAAUAGUACCGUGUGUCAUAUGAGAAAUGAAUUGUGUAAAUGCUAUUUCUCUCUUAUUGAAUAAACAAUGUUGCUCCAUAUAAAA